GAUGAACGCUGGCGGCGUGCCUAAUACAUGCAAGUCGAGCGAACAGAUAAGGAGCUUGCUCCUUUGACGUUAGCGGCGGACGGGUGAGUAACACGUGGAUAACCUACCUAUAAGACUGGGAUAACUUCGGGAAACCGGAGCUAAUACCGGAUAACAUAUUGAACCGCAUGGUUCAAUAGUGAAAGGCGGCUUUGCUGUCACUUAUAGAUGGAUCCGCGCCGUAUUAGCUAGUUGGUAAGGUAACGGCUUACCAAGGCAACGAUACGUAGCCGACCUGAGAGGGUGAUCGCCCACACUGGAACUGAGACACGGUCCAGACUCCUACGGGAGGCGGCAGUAGGGAAUCUUCCGCAAUGGGCGAAAGCCUGACGGAGCAACGCCGCGUGAGUGAUGAAGGUCUUCGGAUCGUAAAACUCUGUUAUCAGGGAAGAACAAAUGUGUAAGUAACUGUGCACAUCUUGACGGUACCUGAUCAGAAAGCCACGGCUAACUACGUG
rnacentral:rRNA from 1 species